rnacentral:ncRNA from 1 species
GAGAGCCAAAUGAAUCGAAAGGUUCAUGUUUGGUUCGGGAAGGGAUUAUAGAACUCUACUUACU